UCGGGAAUUUUGGGCAAUGGGCGAAAGCCUGACCCAGCAACGCCGCGUGAAGGAUGAAGUAUUUCGGUAUGUAAACUUCGAAAGAAUAGGAAGAAUAAAUGACGGUACUAUUUAUAAGCUCCGGCUAACUACGUGCCAGCAGCCGCGGUAAUACGUAGGGAGCAAGCGUUGUUCGGAUUUACUGGGCGUAAAGGGCGCGUAGGCGGCGCGGUAAGUCACUUGUGAAAUCUCUGAGCUUAACUCAGAACGGCCAAGUGAUACUGCUGUGCUAGAGUGCGGAAGAGGCAACCGGAAUUCUUGGUGUAGCGGUGAAAUGCGUAGAUAUCAAGAGGAACACCUGAGGCGAAGGCGGGUUGCUGGGCCGACACUGACGCUGAUGCGCGAAAGCCAGGGGAGCAAACG
rnacentral:rRNA from 1 species